CAGCUUGUUGGCGAGGUAAUGGCUCACCAAGGCAAUGAUCGGUAGCCGGACUGAGAGGUUGGCCGGCCACACUGGAACUGAGACACGGUCCAGACUCCUACGGGAGGCAGCAGUGGGGAAUCUUGCACAAUGGACGAAAGUCUGAUGCAGCAACGCCGCGUGGGGGAUGAAGCUUCUCGGAGUGUAAACCCCUUUCGACCCGGAAGAAUGCCCGCAAGGGUAUGACGGUACGGGUAUAAGAAGCCCCGGCUAACUACGUGCCAGCAGCCGCGGUAAUACGUAGGGGGCCAGCGUUGCUCGGAAUUACUGGGCGUAAAGGGUCCGUAGGCGGUGUAGCAAGUCGAUAGUGAAAUCUCUGGGCUUAACCCAGAGGCUGCUAACGAAACUGCUGUGCUAGAGUGUGAGAGAGGCGAGUGGAAUUACGGGUGUAGCGGUGAAAUGCGUAGAUAUCCGUAGGAACAUCCGAGGCGAAGGCGGCUCGCUGGAUCACAACUGACGCUGAGGGACGAAAGCUAGGGGAGCAAACAGGAUUAGAUACCCUGGUAGUCCUAGCCCUAAACCAUCAGGACUUGGGGUUU
rnacentral:rRNA from 1 species